UACAGAGGGGGCAAGCGUUGUUCGGAAUUACUGGGCGUAAAGGGCGCGUAGGCGGCCUGCUAAGUCGAACGUGAAAUCCCUGGGCUCAACCCAGGAACUGCGUCCGAUACUGGUUGGCUUGAAUCCGGGAGAGGGAUGUGGAAUUCCAGGUGUAGCGGUGAAAUUCGUAGAUAUUCGCAAGAACACCAGUGGCGAAGGCGGCUCACUGGCCCGAUACUGACGCUGAGGCACGAAAGCGUGGGGAGCAAACAGG
rnacentral:rRNA from 1 species